rnacentral:rRNA from 1 species
GAGUUGUGGUGUCCGGCAAGGUUAAGUAAACACGGAGCCGUAGCGAAAGCGAGUCUUAAUAGGGCGUUUAGUCGGAUGCUGCAGACCCGAAACGAUGUGAUCUAUCCAUGAGCAGAUUGAAACCGGUGUAAGAACCGGCGGAGGAUCGAACAGACGGCCAUUGAAACGGCUCCUGAUGACUUGUGGAUAGGGGUGAAAGGCCAAUCAAACAUCGUGAUAGCUGGUUCUCUUCGAAAUAUAUCGAGGUAUAGCGUUGUGUCGUAAUUAUAAGGGGUAGAGCACUGAAUGGGCUAGGGCAUACACCAAUGUACCAACCCCUAUCAAACUCCGAAUACUUAUAAUGUAAUCACAGCAGUCAGGCGGCGAGUGAUAAAAUCCGUCGUCGAAAGGGGAACAACCCAGACUACCGACUAAGGUCCCUAAAUCUUAUUUAAGUGGAAAACGAUGUGAAGUUACUUAAACAACCAGGAGGUUGGCUUAGAAGCAGCCAUCCUUUAAAGAUAGCGUAAUAGCUCACUGGUCUAGUGAUUUUGCGCGGAAAAUAUAACGGGGCUAAAAUAAGUACCGAAGUCGUAGAUUUACACAAUAGUGUAAGUGGUAGAAGAGCGUUGUAUUUAGCAUUGAAGGCGUACCGGUAAGGAGCGCUGGAGCAUAUACAAGUGAGCAUGCAGGCAUGAGUAGCGAUAAUUAAUGUAAGAAUCAUUAACGCCGAAAACCCAAGGUUUCCUACGCGAUGCUCGUCAUC